rnacentral:tRNA from 1 species
GCCGCCGUAGCUCAGCCCGGUUAGAGCGGCGGGCUGUUAACCCGUAGGUCCCGGGUUCAGGCUAGGGGCCGCCUAAAAAUCCCGGCGGCGGCG